rnacentral:rRNA from 1 species
CGGAGGGGGCUAGCGUUGUUCGGAAUUACUGGGCGUAAAGCGCACGUAGGCGGCUUUGCAAGUUAGAGGUGAAAGCCCAGGGCUUAACCCUGGAAUUGCCUUUAAAACUGCAUCGCUAGAAUUGUGGAGAGGUAAGUGGAAUUCCGAGUGUAGAGGUGAAAUUCGUAGAUAUUCGGAAGAACACCAGUGGCGAAGGCGACUUACUGGACACAUAUUGACGCUGAGGUGCGAAAGCGUGGGGAGCAAACAGG